AACGAACGCUGGCGGCAUGCCUAACACAUGCAAGUCGAACGAGACCUUCGGGUCUAGUGGCGCACGGGUGCGUAACGCGUGGGAACCUGCCCUUAGGUUCGGAAUAACUCCCCGAAAGGGGUGCUAAUACCGGAUAAUGUCUUCGGACCAAAGAUUUAUCGCCUUUGGAUGGGCCCGCGUUGGAUUAGCUAGUUGGUAGGGUAAAAGCCUACCAAGGCGACGAUCCAUAGCUGGUCUGAGAGGAUGAUCAGCCACACUGGGACUGAGACACGGCCCAGACUCCUACGGGAGGCAGCAGUGGGGAAUAUUGGACAAUGGGCGAAAGCCUGAUCCAGCAAUGCCGCGUGAGUGAUGAAGGCCUGAGGGUUGUAAAGCGCUUUUAACCGGGAUGAUAAUGACAGUACCGGGAGAAUAAGCCCCGGCUAACUCCGUG
rnacentral:rRNA from 1 species